CCCGCGUGUAACACACAGAUAAACAAACACGGUUGCUAAAAUGAAGUAUUCUUUGGAAGGAGUCAAAGAAUUGAUUCAUUCUCAUGAUCCAAAUAACUAUUUAGCAAUUGCUGGGGGAGUCCUAGCUGCUUCAGCCCUAACUUAUGGCCUGUAUAAGAAAAUUUUUGGAAAAAGAAGAAAAAAAGUUAUCCCUAAGGAUGUUGUGAUUGUUCAUGGUUGUAGGAGAGGACCCUACUGUCCAAGUCUAUCUCCCUUCUGUCUUAAAGUUGAAACUUACUUGAGGAUGAACAGAAUACCAUAUCAGAGUGAUAAAGAUAUUGAGUUGUCAUCUAAAGGCAAGAUACCAUGGAUUGAAUAUAAUGAGGAUGUUGUCAACGAUUCUUCUUUCAUCAUCGAAUAUUUUAACAAGAAGUUAGACAUCGAUGUUGACAGAUAUUUAACAGACAAAGAAAAAGCUAUAUCCAGAGCCUUUCAAAAAUUAAUAGAAGAAAACCUUUUAUGGUGUUUUGCGCUGUGUAGAUGGGGUUAUGGUUAUACAGAUAACCGUUGGAUGGGUUUCGGAUGGCAGAUAUAUAUAGCUAAACUUAUUAGUCGAAAGGUUGUCAAGCAAUCCUGGGCAGCUGGUAUGGGUAGACACACCCAAUCAGAAGUUUUACAGAUUUUUGACGAUGACAUGAAAGCCUUGUCUGAUUUUCUAAGUAGUAAAGAUUUUAUGAUGGGAAGUGAACCUACAGAAAUAGAUUGUACAGCAUUUGGUAUGUUAGCACAAUUUUUUUGGGGCAGUCCACAACAACCGUGUGAAACUUGGAUAAAAGAAAAAUAUCCCAAUUUACGGGAGUACUGUCUUCGGAUGAAAAAUUUAUUUUGGGAAGAUUGGGAUGAAUGUAUUACACAUGGUGGUACAAGGGAGGCUACUCGUUAAUGAAUAUUGGAUACAGACCACAAUAAUGUAGUUAUGUUAUAGAUUGUUCUUCAGGAACUUCAGGAACAAAAAUGUAAAGUGGUAGUAUG